AGUUAGGCUUGUCCAGGAUCACACAGCCUUGCUCUCACCCUUGGCCACUCACCUGGAGGCCAGGAUCCCUUAGACUAACCAGGUCCUGCCACAGUCAGACGAGGCAGGGUAGAGGUGCCAUCUUCUGUUAAGACCCUGCUUUCAGGAAGGGCCACUAGUGGCCACCAUGUGAAGUUUUGAGUCUCACAGGAAGUUUUCUGACCUGGAGCGUCUCAGUGGAAUACUCAGUAGCCUCCGGGGGUCUGGCAGUCAUAAUGUUUGCUUCCUGAUGCAAACUCGCACAGUCUACCCUCAGCCUCUCAUUAAGCUGCUCUAGGGAGCCUUCCACUUUUUGAUGGGAAAUUUAGAAAGAAGAGUAACAAUGUUGAAAACAUGACCUGAACUCUGGGGUUCUGUUGUUACCUUCAAGGUUCCAGAACCAGAAACCUUUUACCAAAGUUAGAAAAGAGCUUUAUCACAAGCCUUCCCUGUCCUGGCAUGAGGCCGCCAGACUCAAGAGUAUCCUAUUAACUGUGAAUGAAUCUGAGGUCAGUUCCCUUUAUUGCGGAAACACAUUCUUUGAAGAUUUCAGAAGUUCGUCUUUGCUGUUAGCAGGUGGAGCGUGUUUACACGUGUACCGGUGGACUGUGGGGGGGCCAGGGCUUGGUGUUGGGUUUCAGCCCUGUGUGUGUCGCUUCCCCACUCUGAGAAGACCUCAUGGCCCACUACUCAGGACAGGUAUGCCCAGUCUCAGGGUGUCAUUUCAGGCAGCUUCUGAACCUGUUAAAGAUGGAAGGGAGUCUAUCUCAUGAACCCCAACUUAAAGAAUAAGGAAUAUUAGAAUCUCUUGGAAAGCCCAUGUUUUUUUGUGCUGAUGCCAAGGGCUGGUGAAGGAAAAUAAGUUACCUUUUCUCUCUCAAAGCAGAAACAAAAUCCUGACAGGUCCGAACUGUGAUUUCCUCUUGGUGUAUUUGGGAACCGUUGAUUAUGUAUAACGUAUUUUUUUAAAUUAAGAAAAGCAAAAAUUUUUUGUAGAAAUUCAGUCGCUGGCAAAGAGGUACAAACAGCCAGCCUCUCCUGGAGACCAGGGGUGGCAGGGUGCAGCAAGGGGAGAGAGCAGUCCUUGUGAAAUCCCGUCUGUCAGAGCCCAGGGACUGAGAAGAGUGCAGCUGGCCCCGAGUACACACGGGCUCCACAUCCUCAGAGUCAGCCAGCCGCGGGUCCGGAGGGCCAGUUGUACUGCCUUUUUAUAUAAGGGACUUGGGCAUUCGCGGAUGUAGGCGGGGGGAUGGAGUCCUGCAACCAGUCCCCCACGGAUACCGGGGGUGACUGUGUAUUAUAUUUGACCUAGAUCUUUAGUGGGUAACAUUUUAUGCAGUUUGAAUGAAUAAAAAUAUUUUCCUUUUGUUUAGUUUUAUUUGUAUGUAUUUUACUUUGAUGAAUGAUUGGUUCCGAGGCCUCUGCCACACUCCAGAAAUACUUGUGUGGCUGCUUUAAAAAAAAAAAAAAGCUGUGUGUCUGGUCACUUAUUUCUCUAAAAUUAUCUCAUUGCCUGGCAAUCAAUCUUCUCUCAAUAUAGUUGUCCUAGCACAUUAUGUACACAGGAAAUGUAAACAGAUGUGAAGGAGGACCAGAAAAAAAAAGUUGAUAAUAAAGAAAAAUGUAUGUUUUGGCUUCACAUGUUUAACAUUUUUUUUUUAAGAAAAAAGUUGCAUGAAUGGAAAAAAAAUCUGUAUACAGUAUCUGUAAAACUGUCUUAUCUGUUUCAAUUUCUUGCUCAUACCCCAUACAAACUAGAACUCAGUGUGGUGCAUGGCUGUAUUCAAACACCUGAGAGUCAUGCAGUUGAUCCUUUGGUUUGAAGCACCUCAUCCUUUCUUUCAAAGCGAACACUAUCAUAUUGCAUUCUUACUGAGGAUUUUGUCUGUCCAUAUGUUACCAUGAAAUAUCUCUACCACCUUUUGUCUCAAGAAUCCAAAACCAGUUUGAUUUGGGAAUCUUCUCCUUUCCAAGUGAAAUAGAGAUGCAGUACUUAACUUUCCUUGGUGUUUGUAGGUAUUGCCUUGUGUAUUCCAUUUAAAACCGUAAUCUAGUUUGUAAAAGCAAUGGUGACGCAUGUAAAUAAAGCAUCAAUGACACUCUACCUUA
ensembl:lncRNA